rnacentral:rRNA from 1 species
AAACUACUAAACUAGAGGCUGGGAGAGGUAAGCGGAAUUGCCGGUGUAGGGGUCAAAUCCGUUAAUAUCGGCAGGAACACCAAAUGCGAAGGCAGCUUACUAGCACAGUCCUGACACUAAUACACGAAAGCGUGGGGAGCGAAGCGGAUUAGAUACCCGCGUAGUCCACGCCGUAAACGAUGCGUACUAGACAUUGGAAGUAUCGACCCUUCCAGUGUCGUUUAACAAAGGUAACCCGUUAAGUACGCCGCCUGGGGAGUACGAGCGCAAGCUUAAAACUCAAAGGAAUUGACGGGGACUCGCACAGGCGGUGGAGCAUGUGGUUUAAUUCGACGAUAAGCGAAAAACCUUACCAAGGCUUGACAUUUAGCUGCAAGCCUCCAGAAACGGAGGCCGCCUUCGAGGGUGCUAAAACAGGUGCUGCAUGGUUGCCGUCAGCUCGUGUCGUGAGAUGUACGGUUAAGUCCGGAAACGAGCGCAACCCUUAUCCUGAUUUAUACUUUAUUAGGAAACUGCCUGGGACAACCAGGAGGAAGGUGGGGAUGACGUCAAAUCAGCAUGGCUCUUACGCCUUGGGCUACACACAUGCUACAAUGGCCAGCACAAAGGGUUGCAAAACCGCAAGGUGAAGCUAAUCCCAUCAAAGCUGGUCUCAGUUCGGAUUGUGGUCUGAAACUCGUCCGCAUGAAGCUGGAAUCG